rnacentral:rRNA from 1 species
UACGAAGGGGGCUAGCGUUGCUCGGAAUUACUGGGCGUAAAGGGCGCGUAGGCGGGUCAUUUAGUUAGAGGUGAAAGCCCAGGGCUCAACCCUGGAAUUGCCUUUAAUACUGGCGGCCUUGAGUAUGGCAGAGGUGUGUGGAACUCCGAGUGUAGAGGUGAAAUUCGUAGAUAUUCGGAAGAACACCAGUGGCGAAGGCGACACACUGGGCCAUUACUGACGCUGAGGCGCGAAAGCGUGGGGAGCAAACAGG